rnacentral:tmRNA from 2 species
GGGGGCGACCUGGCUUCGACGCAGAUCGUGAAACCCAAGGUGCAUGCCGAGCAUACAGUUUAAUCCUCGUAAAACUUAACUGUCUUGUUAUAGAUGCAAACGACAACAUCUAUGGAGCUGCCGACAAAAAAGUCGCGUAAAGCUCUCCUUCUACCAGCUGUGCUUAUGCGGUUGGCUAGGGGGUCGAUUACAUAAGACCGCUUAACUGUUUGCUCUCGUCAGUUGGGCUAAAUAAACUGAGAGCUGGUUUGAUGGGUCCCCGCUAGAUCAGGACACAUUGAACGACAACGAUGGUCUAGAUAAGCAUGUAGACCCUUCGGCAUAACAUGUGCGGACGCGGGUUCAAUUCCCGCCGCCUCCACCA